UGAGCAAUCUGCCCUUCUCAUCGGAAUAACCAUUGGAAACGAUGGCUAAUGCCGAAUAUGACCUCGGAACACAUGUUCUGAGGUGGAAAGCUCCGGCGGAGAAGGAUGAGCUCGCGGCCUAUCAGCUUGUUGGUGAGGUAAUGGCUCACCAAGGCAUUGACGGGUAGCCGGCCUGAGAGGGUGACCGGCCACACUGGGACUGAGACACGGCCCAGACUUCG
rnacentral:rRNA from 1 species